rnacentral:rRNA from 1 species
AUGGCGUCCGAGUGGGAAAUGGCCAUGGGCGUGGAGCUCGGCAUGGGAAUGGGCUCCUACCACAACGCCUCCAACGUCCACGCCGUGCCCAUGGGCCACCAGGCCGGCGGCUACUCCGCGGCCGCUCACCAUUUCUACGGGAUGCAGCCCAUGCGCGACGCCAGCAUGCGCGUGGAUGAGCUUCUCGACUUCCCCACCGCGGGCGCCCACGACUUCUUCCCCGCCGCGCCGGACAACGGACUCCACCACCAUCACCACCUCGGCGCCGGCGUGGGCGAGCUGUCGGCCACCACCCCUUCCGCCACGUCGUCGGAUCACCAGACGUCCAUGCUCUCCUUCGCCGACGAGUUCUACAUACCCAGCGAGGAAGCCGCGGAGCUCGAAUGGCUAUCCAAGUUCGUGGACGACUCCUACUCGGACAUGCCGAAUUACUCAUCGACCGCGCAUGCGGCAAUGGCGGCGGCUAACGCGGCGAACAACAGCUGCGUCACAGCGGAGCCAGGCCGCGGAGCGCGAAGCAAGCGGUCGCGCGCGAGCGCCGCGGCCGCCGCCGCAUGGCACUCCCUCAUGCCGCACCCGCCUUCGCAGCCAUCGCCCUCGUCCUCGUGUUCCUCGUCCGACUUCCCGUCCUCGACGACGGCACGACCUAGCGGCUCCAACUGCGGCAGUCGCGGCAAGAAGCAGGGACCCGUCGCCGGCGGCGAGGUGGGCCUGGUGGAGGGCGGCGUGCGGCGCUGCACGCACUGCGCCUCGGAGAAGACGCCGCAGUGGCGAACGGGGCCGCUGGGGCCCAAGACGCUGUGCAACGCGUGCGGCGUGCGGUUCAAGUCAGGACGGCUGGUGCCGGAGUACCGGCCGGCGGCAAGCCCCACGUUCCUGCUGACGCAGCACUCCAACUCUCACCGCAAGGUGAUGGAGCUGCGCCGCCAGAAGGAGCUCGUUCUCAUCCGCGGCAGCCACCGUCUGGACGCGGCAGCGGCGGCGGCCGGCCCCGGCCCCGGGGUGACCGUGAAGCCGGAGCUCAUGUUCCAUGACUACGGCAUAUGUUGA